rnacentral:rRNA from 1 species
GACGAACGCUGGCGGCGUGCUUAACACAUGCAAGUCGAACGGAAAGGCCCUGCUUUUGUGGGGUGCUCGAGUGGCGAACGGGUGAGUAACACGUGAGUAACCUGCCCUUGACUUUGGGAUAACUUCAGGAAACUGGGGCUAAUACCGGAUAGGAGCUCCUGCUGCAUGGUGGGGGUUGGAAAGUUUCGGCGGUUGGGGAUGGACUCGCGGCUUAUCAGCUUGUUGGUGGGGUAGUGGCUUACCAAGGCUUUGACGGGUAGCCGGCCUGAGAGGGUGACCGGCCACAUUGGGACUGAGGUACGGCCCAGACUCCUACGGGAGGCAGCAGUGGGGAGUAUUGCACAAUGGGCGGAAGCCUGAUGCAGCAGCGCCGCGUGCGGGAUGACGUCCUUCGGGUUGUAAACCGCUUUCGCCUGUGACGAAGCGUGAGUGACGGUAAUGGGUAAAGAAGCACCGGCUAACUACGUG